CUCGGCUGACUGCUCAGUAACACACUGGAUAAUCUGCCCUAAGGUGGAGGAUAACCUCGGGAAACUGAGAAUAAUACUCCAUAAGUCUAGGAUGCUGGAAUGCACUUACGCUCAAAACUCCCGCGCCUUAGGAUGAGUCUGCGGACUAUCAGGUUGUAGUCAGGGCUAAAGACCUGACUAGCCUACAACGUAUACCGGUCGUGAGAGCAAUAACCCGGAGAUGAUAUCUGAGACACGAUAUCCGGCCCUACGGGGCGCAUUAGGCGCCAAAACUUCCCCCUGCGCGAACGCCCCAUCACGGAAUCCCACGUGUACUGCACGUCCGAGUUAUAGGGUUCUUUUGUGUACAACGCGCUGAUAGUAUGAGCGUGGGUAACACUGCUGGCAGCCCCCGCGGUAA
rnacentral:rRNA from 1 species